CUUCCAGACUCCUACGGGAGGCAGCAGUGGGGAAUCUUCCGCAAUGGACGAAAGUCUGACGGAGCAACGCCGCGUGAGUGAUGACGGCCUUCGGGUUGUAAAGCUCUGUUAAUCGGGACGAAAGGCCUUCUUGCGAAUAGUGAGAAGGAUUGACGGUACCGGAAUAGAAAGCCACGGCUAACUACGUGCCAGCAGCCGCGGUAAUACGUAGGUGGCAAGCGUUGUCCGGAAUUAUUGGGCGUAAAGCGCGCGCAGGCGGAUAGGUCAGUCUGUCUUAAAAGUUCGGGGCUUAACCCCGUGAUGGGAUGGAAACUGCCAAUCUAGAGUAUCGGAGAGGAAAGUGGAAUUCCUAGUGUAGCGGUGAAAUGCGUAGAUAUUAGGAAGAACACCAGUGGCGAAGGCGACUUUCUGGACGAAAACUGACGCUGAGGCGCGAAAGCCAGGGGAGCGAACGGGAUUAGAUACCCCGGUAGUCCUGGCCGUAAACGAUGGGUACUAGGUGUAGGAGGUAUCGACCCCUUCUGUGCCGGAGUUAACGCAAUAAGUACCCCGCCUGGGGAGUACGACCGCAAGGUUGAAACUCAAAGGAAUUGACGGGGGCCCGCACAAG
rnacentral:rRNA from 1 species